AUUGAACGCUGGCGGCAAGCCUAACACAUGCAAGUCGAACGAGUGGCGGACGGGUGAGUAAUGUCUGGGAAACUGCCUGAUGGAGGGGGAUAACUACUGGAAACGGUAGCUAAUACCGCAUACCAUCGGAUGUGCCCAAAUGGGAUUAGCUAGUAGGGGGGGUAAAGGCUCACCUAGGCGACGAUCCCUAGCUGGUCUGAGAGGAUGACCAGCCACACUGGAACUGAGACACGGUCCAGACUCCUCCGUGAGGCAGCAGUGGGGAAUAGUGCACAAUGGGCGCAAGCCUGACGCAGCCAUGCCGCGUGUAUGAAGAAGGCCUUCGGGUUUUAAAGUACUUUCAGCGGGGAGGCGUUACCCGCAGAAGAAGCACCGGCUAACUCCGGGCCAGCAGCCGCGGUAAUUC
rnacentral:rRNA from 1 species